rnacentral:lncRNA from 1 species
UCUCUAUGCAAUGUACACAAUCAUUCAUGCUCCUUAGCUACAAGACCACUCCAUUUUACCCUUCACACUUUGCAUCAUCACUUCAUUUUCACCCUUGGACCAUUGCACACCACAUACACUCUUUGCCGUGCAUUCUCCCUAGCCUAACCUGAUUCUCUAAGGUUUUUGGGGCCUAUAUAUACAUGUUUACACCCCUUGGCAAAGGGUUCACACUCUCAUAUUCAUCAUUCAUCACAGAAAAUUCGUCCAUACAACCUCUAGGUAGCAAAAACACCCCAAAAACACCAUUCUAGUGCCUAGAAA